CUAACAUGCAUUUUUACCCAUAGAUCUUGCAUAAAACUUAGUUAAAACACAUAAGGAGCUUAAGAUCGGCUCUUACCUCUUGAAGAUCGAGAGGGAGACGACCCAAACUUGGAGAUCCACGGAAAUGAGCUCCCAAGUUCCCAAAGCUCCAAAACUUGGUUUAAAUGUUCAAAACUUGCAAGGUGAGUUUAAAACUCAAGAAAAAUGGAAGAGAUUUGGAGGAAGAACACAAGAUUUGCUAAGGGAAGGUCGGAAGCUUGCUGCGGCCGAAAAUGGGAGAAAACCUCGCCCAUUUCGGCUAAGGGUCCCUUUUAUAGUGGCUGGCCAGGCCACGUUCGGGGGCCGAAAGUGCCUCCGCAUGCAUGCAAGGUUCGGCGGCCGAACUUGACUUUCGGCGGCCGAACCUGGACUUCCCUCACUCAUGCUUUCGGGGGCCUAACGUGCCUCCAAAACGCAUGCAUGUUCGGCGGCCGAACUUGACUUUCGGCGGCCGAACCUGGGUUUCCCUCCAAAGACUUUUCAUGUAAAAACUCAUUUAAUCUCUUACUUAAAAACAUGAAAUACACGAAAACAUUUCAUAAAAUCAUAGUUUUACCCUUCUAGAGGUUUCCGACAUCCGAGG
rnacentral:lncRNA from 1 species